GAUGAACGCUGGCGGCGUGCCUAAUACAUGCAAGUCGAGCGAACGGACGAGAAGCUUUCUUCUCUGAUGUUAGCGGCGGACGGGUGAGUAACACGUGGAUAACCUACCUAUAAGACUUGGAUAACUUCGGGAAACCGGAUCUAAUACCGGAUAAUAUUUUGAACCGCAUGGUUCAAAAGUGAAAGACGGUCUUGCUGUCACUUAUAGAUUGAUCCGCGCUGCAUUAGCUAGUUGGUAAGGUAAAGGCUUACCAAGGCAACGAUGCAGAGCCGACCUGAGAGGGUGAUCGGACAGACUGGAACUGAGACACGGCACAGACUCCUACGGGAGGCAGCAGUAGGGAAUCUUACGCAAUGUGCGAAAGCCUGACGGAGCAACGCCGCGUGAGUGAUGAAGGUCUUCGGAUCGUAAAACUCUGUUAUUAGGGAAGAACAUAUGUGUAAGUAACUGUGCACAUAUUGACGGUACCGAAUCAGAAAGCCACGGCUAACUACGUG
rnacentral:rRNA from 1 species